ensembl:lncRNA
CUCCCCCUUUCCUCCCAGUGUUCAUUCAGAGCUCAGCCGUUCAGACCAUCACACCUCUCUGAGCUUCUUCUCUCUCUGCUGCCUCUUUGUCUCUUCUGUCACAUCCAUCCGUCCAUCCGUCCAUCCGUCCAUCCUCCCCCUCUCUCCCUCUCUGCCUCCCCCCCUCUCUCUCACCCCUCUCCUCUCCAUGUGAAUCAUGUCCAGCUUCAGGUUUGUGUCUCUGCUCGGAGUCUCAGUGCUGCUGCUGCUGCUGCUGGCUGCUGUUUGUGAGGCUCAGUAUUACGGCGACUUCACGCAGGCUCCAGACUACGACUCCGACUACAACGCCACCUUCGAGUACAGCUUCUACAGUAACGCCAGCAGCGAGGACCUGGACAGGUUCAGCGAGCGAUUCAUGGACGAGGAUGAUGAGGAUGGGCGGGAGGAAGAGGACACAGGAGGGCAGCAAGGGCAAGAGGAAGUGACUGUUACCAUGGCAACCACCAGAGGUGUCACUGUGAAGGGCGGUGUUCACGGUCGUAGCGCCGCAUCACCUCCUGUUUCUCUGCUGUCGUCAGGUGUGUGUGCGAUCACCUGACCCAAAGAAGGCGGAGUCACUUUAACCUCAGCAGAGAGUGUUCCCCUCCCCCCUCCUAAACAUGGCUGUCCAGGUGGAUUUCAGCCAAUCACAGAGCAUCUUUACUUCAGCAGUGGAGUUCUGAACUCAUAAAACAGAUGAACUUCAUCACAUGAGGAAUCACAUUUUUAACACCUGAAGGUGGCAGAAAGAUGACAGGACCGUGGUUUGAACAUUUUAUUAUAUCUGCUGGUAAUAAAUAUGAAGUUUAUUUAUACCAAAACUGUAGUCAACCUGUCUUCUAGAAAUGACAUUUAUAUUCAUAACAGCAGGUUAAAACUUUAAACGUUUAUAAUUCAUGAAGAAAUUAUAUUAAUUGAUCUAUUUGUUACUUUGCUAAAACACUGACACCAAAUGUAGUAAAAUAAUUUUUGUUUCCCAUGAACAUACUCAAUCUUGUAGUCAAACAUCCACAAGAUUUCAAGAAUUGUGCAUUUGUUAGAAAUUUGCACCACUGAACAUGAACUGUGUCACGCUUUUAAUUGUUCAUGUUGUGGCCUGUUUUGGAUUUCAAGAUUAAGUUGUGUUUUACUGUUUGUUGUUUUAAUUUUACUUCAAUUAUUUGAGGUAAUUAAGACAAAAAACCUGAGGGAAGGGUCUAUUUAUUAUUCCCUCAGAGAAGAAUUGGGAGUCUGCAACCAGUCAAUGAUUAUUGAUUUUUCAGUGUUCAUAAAAGCCCUUCUUAUUCCCAAAUGACUCAUGUGAAGAUAUAAGUCUUUGUCUUUCCAACAGUAACGAACUCAAACAGUUUAUUUUUGGACUUCAGCGAGCUCCUCCUCCAAACUGGAGAUUCUCCUUCAUGGAGACAGUUCGAGGUGACUUCAGGGCCUGUGUGAAAUUUUAACUAGUAUUUUAACACUCAAAAAAACCCCAAAACCAGAAAAUAUAGUUCCACUGUAACGCAAAAAUGUUGGGUUUUGUAGGUCCUUAGUGGCCAAGAAGACCGACUAAAACUAUGCAGCCACCUUGUUUAACCCACUGAACCCCGAGAAGAUGUUUUUUUGUUCAUGUCACAUUUGAAUUGACUGUGGGCUCAUUUUUCACUGCAGUAUAAAGUUCUGCACCUCUAUGGAAACAGAACAACCAUGAUUGAAUUAGAGAGGACUCAGAAGUCUCUCCUGUGCAGUUUGACACAAUUAUAAUGCCACGAAUAAAAGACAAUAUAGUUUAUUGCUUAUUUAAAAAAAUAAAAAAACUGGAAUCAACUUUUUUUUCCAUCCCCAAAUGUACAGCUUACCAAUACUGGAAAAAUAAAUGUGAACUCAACACAUUAAAGAUUUUACUUCUUAUAUUUUUAAUUAGUUUUCAUACUUGCCUCCUCUCUGCUCUGUGUUAACACUGCCUGCAGUUCAACCGAAUAGUCUCUAAAUUUUAAUCACGUGACUGUUGGUCACAGCUGAGUCACUAAUGGCUUCGCACUUGCACUGGAGAAGCAGAAUUUUUGUUAUUUUACAGAUUCUUGCUGGAGCAAACAAUUUAUUUUAAACAUAUUUUUACAUGAGACAUGUAGAAUAAAGUGAUUUUGAUAAGAUAUCAUAAUUUUAAGGUAAGAUAUGAUUAAUUUUCAUGACAGAAACUUAUCAAAGACAAUUCAAGGAUGCCCUGAAAGUUGAAAAUCUGAAGAUUGUGUCUGUUUUCACAGUUUCUGGCUGAUAAUAGUGUUAUUUUUGUAAUUAAAAAACAAACAAACAAACAAACAAACUUGACUUUCAAACCCACCAGGAAGUUUUGGGUUUCAGAGGGUCAAGCAAAAAUAAAUUAUGGAAAUGUUUUUUUUUUAACUACUAUUAAGGACUGAACUCUAGUUUUGAUAUAAAUAAACUUCCGUACUAUUGAUCAUAAAUAAAGAACAGUAGAAGCCUUUAACGUUAAGGGCUGCUAACAGAUUCUGAUGGUGACGACAUAUUUUUUAUAAAACAAUCCAGAUCCUCUAAACUAAGAGCACAUGAACGUCCUGUUGUGUCUGUAAAUGUGAUUCUCUCUCUGUUAGUUUGCUUUUUAUUUUAUAAACUUCACUUCUCCACAGUUUCUCUUGGAACAUUUUCACAUAUGCAGUCUCACGGUGAAUCAAACACCAGCACUUUUGUCGGCGAGUAGCACUUACAGUAUUUAGUUCUGUUGUUCUGUAGAGAAAAUAAACGCUAAAAUAAAGACACAUCAUAAAGAUGACCGUAAAUGAAACUGGGCAUCAAAAAUCAUUCAGUUUAUAUUUUAAAGCAUUCACUGCCUUGUCCUGUUAAAGCCCAUCAGUUUGUCAGAAAGUGUUAAUAAACAGAUGAAAUUUAAACGUUUAUUUUGAUAUUUUAAAACUGCAAACACGACAACAGCAAGAGAAGAAACAAAGUAAAAACUUUUUAAAAGGGUUUUUAUGCAGUAUAAAGAGAAAAAAACUAAUGAAUGUGACAGGAAAAACUUUUAGAACAAUUUGAACAGAUGUUGUUUAUUAGCUUUAUUGUUUAUAUUUGUUUGUGUUUUGCAAUAAAAGAUAGAAAAAUUAUCACCAGCUUCUUGUUGGGUGUUUUUCUUUAACGCAUGAUACUAGUUAGUGGUUAAUUAAUAUCUUUUUGUGGCUGUUUACAUUUAAUUUUGAUAAUUUUACAUCUUUUUCUCAUUGUUUUGUGUCACAUUUUUGCCAUUUUACUUUUUUUUCUCCUU